AGCUGUAUUUCUUCUGACCAGCGCGCACGCACGGGAGACGAAGACCUCUUUCGAGCGAUUUGGUAGAAGAAGAGUGAGGGAAAAUACGAAUACGGGCUCCCCUAUCGUGCCGCCCUCAGGGAGUGAAGGAGUCGUGAAGGGAAAAAAAGGCCGCAACUUAGCGAGGUGGCGGACGUAUCAAUGGAACUGCUGUGGACGAUCUCUCUCCUGGACAUGUUCGCUGCCUUUGACUGCCACUCGGUCGCUAGUCUCGGCCACUGGCCAUCGCCCCUUCGAGUGACGAGUCCUGCCCAUACCCAUGUUGUUAUCCACUCCAUCGCAGCACACGCUGUAUACAGAUUCACAAGCGUUGUGGUGUCCUCCCAGAAAAACUCCACGUGCGGCUCAAUCUUGAGCCAGCGCAGGAUGUAGUGUAGUCUCACACGAGUCGAGUAGCCUACACGAGGUUACUUUUGAGCCCUUGAUUAGAAAUUCCCCUUGCACGGUAUCCGUGCCGCAGCCUGGGCCAAUCUUUGAAGUCUGUCACAGAGGGUGGUGCGACCAAUGGUUUAAGAAUUUCUCUAAUCGAUUGACACUAACCCUAACUGAUAACCUUUAACCCUCUAAAUCUAGCCCUAUCCCCAGCAUGAUAUCGUCUCUUUAUUAAUAGAGCACACAUAUGUUGGC